CUUCCUCAAAGCAGUUCAGCUGCAGGCUGCUGACGCUUUUACCGAUUUGGCAUGAAAUAAUGCCAGCCUUGGUCUGGAAACCGAGAGAGGGUCCAACUCCCCUUCCCCAGGAAGACCCUGGGGGAGAGAGAGGAGUCGGGCCACAGGCCAUCGGUGGGGUGGGGAGGAGGACUGGCCUGGAGGUGUCCGAUUAGUUCACCCCGAAGUUGCCCUUUCUCUCAGAUCUGGGGAUGGCGCCGGUGGCCCGAGCUCAACCUCACGUCUGAGCAGUUUCUGCUGCAGGAACCGCAGAGGGAAUGCUGUCCCCGAGGUGCCCACCCUCCUGGAGUCACGGGUAGCUCAGAGGCAGGAGCUCCUCCCUGCUGCCAAUGAGCCCAGGUCUUUGUGUUAAGAACCCACCUUCCUGCCGGACGUCCUUCUCUCCCCAGUGAGCUAGAGGGCGAGGUGCGGCAGAGGGAGAAACCGAGGCCCGUGUUGAGGUAGCAUCAAUAGCAGCUUUAUCUGUGAGAGCCCCAAACAGGAAACCACUCAGAUAUCUUCCAGCAGCGCCCGGGGAAAACAGACUGCUCCGUCCACUCGGCAGAAUCACAUCCGAGCCGUGGAACAAAAAGGAACCAACUACUGAUAACACCUGGCAAUCAGGAUGCAUUUUAAGGGGAUUACCCUACGUGCAUAAAAAAAAAAAAAAGUCAGUCCCAAAAGGUGACAUGUUACAUGGUUGUACUUGGGUAACACCCACAAAAUAACAAUUGUGGACACAGAGAACCGACUGGUGGUUGUUGGGAGUCAGGGGUGGGCUUGGGGUGUGAGCAGGCUGAGGGAAAGGUGGCUGAGGUUACAUGCGGAUGACACAGGGGUCCUUGUGCCGAUGUGACCGCUGUGUGUCUUGACUGGUGUCCGAUAUGCAAACCAUAGGCACACACACGAUUCAGGACUGCACUGAAUGCAGACUCUAUUGUCAAUUUCCUGGUGUGAUAUCAUACUAGAGUUUUGCAUGAUACCAACGUUGUCUUACAAGUGCAGGUAAAUCUAUAAUUAUCUUGAAAUGAAGGUGCUUAAUUUAAAUUUUUUCCCCAAGCUCCCCCUAAGUGAUUCUGUUCCACCAGGAACAACCCCUGCUUGAAUUUUACUUAACUUCUACUUCGUAUGGAGAACUCAAUGUUCCAAUCAAUGCAGUCCAGGCACUUCCUUUCCCCGUUCACUGUCCCAGGGGAAAUGUGCCCCCCUUUAUGUAGAUGCCCACGCCUGGCCCCGUGCUAGCCAGACAGAGCGGGUUUCUUUACCAGGAAGCAACCAAACGAGAGAGAGACAGCACGGAUCCUGGCUUUUCCAAGGGGCAGCUCUGCAACUUUGAGCCAAUUAUUUAAGCGUCUCUGCAAAAUGGCGUGUUGGUUCCACCUGCCUCAGAGGGGGUUGCAAGGGUUGGAGAUAAUGGAUAAUGGAGGUGAGGCACCUGGAAAUAGAAAUUGCUCGCUGAGGAGGCUGUCGAGGGUCUGCUGAGUGUCAGGGAGUUGGCUCCACUCUGCAGGGCACACCGGCUUCCCUGGCAGCCUCCCCCUCCCGGGACUUGAAAGCCAUCUUCAUAGCACAGGAUUUGAGAGACGAGGUCGAUCGGAGGCUUCCUCUGUCCCUUGAAGACCUGCUGUGUAUGGAAAGGGGUAACGUAAGGAAAAAGUACCUCCAACAGUUUUCCCUGGUGAAUCCGACACCAGAAUACCUUGAGUCAACAGCCCCAAGGUUGAGGUUGUACAGAAUUUAACUAGGACAUAGCCCGCGUUUUCCCAGCUUGGGAGUAAAAGGAGACUCUUCUCCCCGCCCAGCAGAGCCUUUCUGUAAUUUCCAGGGCAGACAAGGCCAGGCGCUCUGCGCAGUGUGUGCAAACCCUCCCCAGUGGACAAGGGGGCACUCGCACGCGCUCACACCUGCUCCCAGACACUCGCGCCUCCCUCCUAUGAGGGGCUGGGAUCUGGUCUGCGAGGCAGCACGGGAACAAUGCUGCUCUCCCUCGGACCCGAGGGCCCACCUCCUCACCUGGGCCACAGCUGGGACGCAGCGCUUUCAUUAUUUAUGAAGCUUUCCUUGUUCCACGAAUAAAUAAUCCAUGACUGCAAAGUGUGGCAGGCACCGCCGUGGAAUAUUCAUGAGCCACAUUUGUGGGGAUUUCAGCGGCGCCUGGGC
rnacentral:lncRNA from 1 species